rnacentral:rRNA from 1 species
UACGGAGGGGGCAAGCGUUGUUCGGGUUUACUGGGCGUAAAGGGCGCGUAGGCGGCUUUGUAAGUUACUUGUGAAAUCUCCGGGCUUAACUCGGAGCGGCCAAGUGAUACUGCAGAGCUAGAGUGCAGAAGGGGCAACUGGAAUUCUUGGUGUAGCGGUGAAAUGCGUAGAUAUCAAGAGGAACACCUGAGGCGAAGGCGGGUUGCUGGGCUGACACUGACGCUGAAGCGCGAAAGCGUGGGGAGCAAACAGG